rnacentral:rRNA from 1 species
UACGGGGGAUGCAAGCGUUAUCCGGAUUUAUUGGGUUUAAAGGGUGCGUAGGCGGUUUGAUAAGUUAGAGGUGAAAUGUCGGGGCUCAACCCCGAAACUGCCUCUAAUACUGUUGAUCUAGAGAGUAGAUGCGGUAGGCGGAAUGUAUGGUGUAGCGGUGAAAUGCUUAGAGAUCAUACAGAACACCGAUUGCGAAGGCAGCUUACCAAUCUAUAUCUGACGUUGAGGCACGAAAGCGUGGGGAGCAAACAGG